AGAAUUACUUUCACAACUCAUAAAAAGAUACAUCCGAUAUUGCGUGGGGCAUGCAUAUCGAAAUUACAAGGAAAAUAUUUUCUUAUAUGAAAACCGUGAGAUUAUGAGUGGCUGCGGUUUAUCGUAUUUACGAAACGAGAGUAACAUUGUGAAUAAACGAUUCUUUAAUAUAAUACGUAGGUAUACAUUAUGGUGACUGCAGACAAAUACCGAAAUCGAAUUUUCUCGAAUUCCUCGCGAUGCCUGCGUAUAGAUCAU